AACGUAGGAGGCAAGCGUUAUCCGGAAUUACUGGGCGUAAAGGGCGUCUAGGCGGUAAGGCAAGCGCGAUGUGAAAGCUCCUGGCUCAACUGGGUGAGUGCGUGGCGAACUGCUUAACUAGAGGCCAGGCGAUGGGGGUGGAAUUCCCGGUGGAGUGGUGAAAUGCGUAGAGAUCGGGAGGAACAUCUGUGGCGAAGGCGACUGCCUGGACCAGCACUGACACUGAGACACGAAAGCGUGGGGAGCAAACAGG
rnacentral:rRNA from 1 species